UUUCAUAAAAAGAUAGACUGGCGCUCCC
rnacentral:piRNA from 1 species